rnacentral:rRNA from 1 species
GAUUCUAGUUUACUAGAAGGCGUCGAGCGGCGGUACGGGUGAGUAAUGCUUGGGAAUAUGCCUUUAGGUGGGGGACAACAGUUGGAAACGACUGCUAAUACCGCAUAAUGUCUACGGACCAAAGGAGGGGAUCUUCGGACCUUUCGCCUUUAGAUUAGCCCAAGUGAGAUUAGCUAGAUGGUGGGGUAAUGGCCUACCAUGGCGACGAUCUCUAGCUGGUUUGAGAGGAUGAUCAGCCACACUGGGACUGAGACACGGCCCAGACUCCUACGGGAGGCAGCAGUGGGGAAUAUUGCACAAUGGGCGAAAGCCUGAUGCAGCCAUGCCGCGUGUGUGAAGAAGGCCUUCGGGUUGUAAAGCACUUUCAGUAGGGAGGAAAGGGUAGUCGCUAAUAUCGGCUAUCUGUGACGUUACCUACAGAAGAAGCACCGGCUAACUCCGUGCCAGCAGCCGCGGUAAUACGGAGGGUGCGAGCGUUAAUCGGAAUUACUGGGCGUAAAGCGUGCGUAGGCGGAUUGUUAAGCGAGAUGUGAAAGCCCAGGGCUCAACCUUGGAACUGCAUUUCGAACUGGCUGUCUAGA